GUCUCCGACCUCAGGACUGGUUGCCAGAACUUCAUCCCAAUCAGGUAAACUUCAAUUAACAUUUUGUUACUUGAGAUUAACCGACCUUUUAGGAGGCUCAAUCCUUACAUAAAUAUCUUUAUUUUAGAUAAAGAGAAGAUUGGAAAUAUUUUUAGAUGUUUCCACACUCGCUUUGGGAAGAAACUUUCGUCCUUUGGGCAUUGGAGGGAUGACAUCAAGAAGAUGUAUAUCAGUCAUUCAUUCCACUCCUCCCAGGUUUGACUGUUCGAAUCAGUAAACAUCUGAUUUUGAAUCUCCUUUUUCUUAUCGCAUUUCCUCUUAUCAGGCAACCCUGGAUGUGAACAGCAUCAUCAACCAUUACGAAGAGGAGCUUACCAAAGUUUCCAAGAGAGCUG
rnacentral:lncRNA from 1 species